GGGGAGGGGCUCGUGCCGAAGGCACGGAAAAUUUUAAAAUUUGAAUCCCGGAAAUGGCCGGCAUUUGCAUCAUUCUGAGACACGCAUAAUCAGAAAUCCCAAAAUUCUGGGCGCCAGAGUAUGUAUGUUCGCAGGUGAUGCUGUGAAUAAUAUAGUUAACAACAAAAAUCAUGACUAAAGACACCAAAAACGGAUCAAAAUUGGGAAUCGACUCACAUUACUUCAAUCCCUUUCCCAUUUUUGAGGACUUCAUUUCCCAAUCCCAGUGGCCAAAUCCCAGUCCCAGCAACCCAAAUCUCAUUUUCCCAGUCUAAAAAUAGAUCAAUCCCAGUUCCCAUUUUACCCCUUCAGGGCCA
rnacentral:lncRNA from 1 species